GAGCAAGUUAAAACUGCCCCACACCCACCUGCGUUUACACCGCAUACCUGUACACCACCAUCAGAGACAUGCAGACAAACUUUUUUUACAUCUUUAAACCAUUUGAUUCACUGCUGGCUAAAAUGUAGCCGUAAGCCUAGUUUUAAAGCCAUUCCAGCGGCAGGAUCUGACCCGAUGGUUCCUGACUCGGUCUCUUCGGCUGACCUUGACUCUCCUCUGAAGACAGAGCAGUCUCACGCCUUUUUGGGAAUUAGUUCAAAGUUUGGGUAGAGGGUGUGUUCGAGCAGAAACUCCUUCCUGUUCUCCGGCCGAUCCUUUCAACCGUGCCGAUUCCCGGCUCUUUGCGUGCCAGGCCCUUUCCGGCCGGGAGUCUGGGGUGUGUUUUUAGCAGGGACGCUGCCGCUGAGUUACACCGCUGGUCACUGUGUUAGGGGAAGGGAAGGGUUGGCAUUUCCCCUCUGAGCCGUCCUCACACAGCCUGAGACACAAAGCUCUGACAAUCAGAAUCAGGGUCAGACAUCAGCGAGGCCGAUGAGGAUGAUUUAAUCGUCUCUGUGACAAAUAAACCAAACUGAAAGCACGUAAACAUCCAGAACUCUGCAGAAAUCGCAGGAAGGAUGCAGCAGAUUGUGCCUGAGAAGGCAUUAAAGUCAACAUAAACAGGAAUCCUUCGUUUCUAACAUUCCCUCUCGGAGUAAUCUUCACUUUUUCACUUUGUUUAUUUAAGGGGGAAAUCACCUGAUUUGGAUAUAAUUCAAAAAGCAAAUGAAACUAAACUGAACUAGAUAACAGAUUAUUUGAUACGUGAUGUCUCCACUCUGCCCGGGACUCCAGGGAGUCUAAACGCCUGAAACACUGAGCAGUUUAAACAGUUGUCACUGAUGGUCAGAGACAAACUGAACAAACUUCUGCUGGGAGAACAUCUGAGAUGACGUCCACUGCACGAGGCUCACGGAGGAGCUGCACCUCCUCCAAAGUGUCCUCAGGAAUGAGACCGAGGAUCCACUGAGGUGAUGCAACUCUGCACCCCCUCAUCUCUCUUUCCAGUCCCUCCCCCCAAUCCACCCACAUUCCCAGGAUGCUGCACCCCAGCAGAGAUAAAGUUAGCACUGCAGAAGUGACAACGCGUUGUAACCACUACCCGUCAUCACCGCCACCACCAGCUCCUGGUCCAGAUGAUGCAACCCCGCCCAGCC